rnacentral:rRNA from 1 species
GACGAACGCUGGCGGCGUGCUUAACACAUGCAAGUCGAACGGAAAGGCCCUGCUUUUGUGGGGUGCUCGAGUGGCGAACGGGUGAGUAACACGUGAGUAACCUGCCCUUUACUUUGGGAUAACUUCAGGAAACUGGGGCUAAUACCGGAUAGGAUCUCCUGCUGCAUGGUGGGGGUUGGAAAGUUUCGGCGGUUGGGGAUGGACUCGCGGCUUAUCAGCUUGUUGGUGGGGUAGUGGCUUACCAAGGCUUUGACGGGUAGCCGGCCUGAGAGGGUGACCGGCCACAUUGGGACUGAGAUACGGCCCAGACUCCUACGGGAGGCAGAAGUGGGGAAUAUUGCAGAAUGGGCGGAAGCCUGAUGCAGCAACGCGGCGUGCGGGAUGACGGCCUUCGGGUUGUAAACCGCUUUGGACUGUGACGAAGCGUGAGUGACGGUAAUGGGUAAAGAAGCACCGGCUAACUACGUG